AAAGAAGAAAGAAAGAAAAUACAUUUAUUUCACACACACACGGAAACAACACAAAAAAUAAAUAAUAAAAACAAAUAAUAAAAAAAAAGCCAAAGGAAAAUGAGCAAGGGUGUUGCUUCCCGGUGCAGAAACGGGUUCUAGCUCAGCUUGGUGCUAUGAUAAACCAUAGCGCUGGUUUUCAGCUAGAACCCUGGGUGAAGUCACGGACUGACUUGACAUAAAAUAUUAUUCAAAAAAGUAAACAAAUAAGAACUAUAGUUAUAGAUUAUGAUAAAUUAUAAAGUAUAAACUUAUGAAGCGUCGAGAGCGCGGGCAUAAAAAAGUGGGUCACAGGGGAACGCGGACGGGCGGGGGGAAGGGAGCCGGCGGCGUGCCUCAGCCUGCGGCGGCGCGUCGAGCCAUUUCAGUCUGAAAAAGUCGCCCACGGCUGGAGCACGUCCGUGCAGCUCACGCCCCGCUCCCCGCGGCGCCCCGGAGCGCUCGCGGCGCCCGCGCAACCUGUUUCACACGCACACAUAGCACAUAGUAAAGUAACGUAGUACUACGAUGGUUUUGCGUGUUGGAAUAUCAAACCGGCUGGUUACAUACGCUGAGGAAUUAAAUUAUUGUUCCUACAACAAAACUAUAAACCAUGGUGUUAUGCCAUGAUGCUUUUAUUUACCAUAAAUACCUAUGCUGUAGUAUGGUUGGCUGACUAUCAUAAUAAUAUAAUUAUGUACACGGCUGCAUUAUGGCACGUAUAGGUGGGGGUAAAUUAUUCCAACAUUUACUGGCAGAAUACUUAAAAGUACCCCGGAAUGCUGCUGAUUUGAAGCUUGGCGUCACCAGCAAAUAAGAAGAAGCUCGCGUGUUGUGCCUGUUGUGAGUACGGGACCAAUCCAAUUUGCUAUAGAGGUAACUAGGGGAACCUGUUUUAAUAAUUUUAAAUAAUAAGGUUGCAAAAUGAA